AGAGGGUGUAUUAAAUGAAAAACCAGGUGCGACAUUUGUCGGGGCAGAAGUGGUGGAAGAUGAACCGAAGGCAAAUCCAGUAGAUGGUGGUGCAGAGGUGGUUGUGGAACCGAAGGCAAAUCCAGUAGAUGGUGGUGCAGAGGUAACUGUGGAACCGAAGGCAAAUCCAGUAGAUGGUGGUGCAGAGGUAACUGUGGAACCGAAGGCAAAUCCAGUAGAUGGUGGUGCAGAGGUGAUUGUGGAACCGAAAACAGAAGGCUUUGGGUUUUGCCAAGUCGAACCAAAGGCAUUAGUAGAAGGGGCACUACUGCUGCUAGCUGAGAUGAUUGCUG
rnacentral:lncRNA from 1 species